GGAGAAGAGCAACAAGUAUAUUCAGUCCAGUUUGCUGAAGAACCUCUAAAUGCCAUUUUGGACCCCCAGAUAAAUCCUUGGUAUUGUUUGUGGUUUCCACUUGACUUCCUUGCGCCACACUCCUUGACGGAAGUAACAUCCACACACAUGUUUUAUUUCUGGUGUUUUUUCACAUUUAAUCAUGAGAUCAUGGUGACCAUUUUUUUACUCAUCGUGCAAGCGCCUUAUAUGGCUGGUGCUUUUUUUGCAUAAAGCAGUAACAUAUUUUCCUUGUUGUGUCGUGCAUCUCAUGUAAGCUCAAAAGUAGAUAAGCCAAUGAAGG
rnacentral:lncRNA from 1 species